AGAGUUUGAUCCUGGCUCAGAGCGAACGCUGGCGGCGUGCUUAACACAUGCAAGUCGAGUGCGCGCCUGUAGCAAUACAGGUGGCGCACGGCGCACGGGUGCGUAACACGUGGGCAAUCUGCCCUCGGAUGGGGGAUAACUCGCCGAAAGGCGAGCUAAUACCGCAUGACAUUCCUGGGACUCCGGUCCCGGGACUCAAAGGCCGCAAGGCCGUCUGAGGAGGAGCCCGCGCCCGAUUAGCUAGUUGGUGAGGUAACGGCUCACCAAGGCUUUGAUCGGUAGCCGGUCUGAGAGGAUGGCCGGCCACACUGGAACUGAGACACGGUCCAGACUCCUACGGGAGGCAGCAGUGGGGAAUAUUGCGCAAUGGGCGAAAGCCUGACGCAGCGACGCCGCGUGGGGGAUGAAGCUUCUCGGAGUGUAAACCCCUUUCGACCCGGACGAAUGACCCGCAAGGGUUUGACGGUACGGGUAUAAGAAGCCCCGGCUAACUACGUGCCAGCAGCCGCGGUAAUACGUAGGGGGCCAGCGUUGCUCGGAAUUACUGGGCGUAAAGGGUUCGUAGGUGGUGCGGCAAGUUGGAAGUGAAAUCUCUGGGCUUAACUCAGAGGCUGCUUUCAAAACUGCCGUGCUCGAGUGCGGGAGAGGCCAGUGGAAUUGCAGGUGUAGCGGUGAAAUGCGUAGAUAUCUGCAGGAACACCCGUGGCGAAGGCGGCUGGCUGGACCGCAACUGACACUGAGGAACGAAAGCUAGGGGAGCAAACAGGAUUAGAUACCCU
rnacentral:rRNA from 1 species